CGCGGAGUAGAGAAGUGGUAUCUCACUAGGCUCAUAACCUAGAGAACGGGGGUUCAAAUCCCUCCUCCGCAACCA
rnacentral:tRNA from 2 species